GCCCCCCCCGCCGCCCGGCAGCAGCAGCGCCUCAGACCCGCCACCCAUCGCUGGAUGUUCCUCCACUUUACCCACCGUAUCAAACAACUUUUACCAGUAAAUAUCGGUUUAUUCCUGAAACCAGAAGCCCUAAACAUACCUUUGUUUAUAAGGUCAGUUGGCAUUUUGUCUCUCUCAUUCCCCACUCCCCCCCAGUACAACCCAGCAGGUGGUUGAAAGGUACCGAGUUCUCUUUCUAGUUUUCCUGCUCUGCACCUCUGGGAACUGGAGCCUGCAGGACCUAGAGCCUUCUGUUGGUAACGUAGAUCCGAGUUUACAAAUUAUUCUUUUACCAUUUUAAAUCCUGCUUUUAAGGACAGAGGUGUUCCUGCCUGCCCACCACGGGAACUGGUAGAAACCCCUAAAUUGUUCCUCCUCUCCAAAGCCUGGGGGUAGGUCUCUCACUAGCAUCUUCAGGCUUGGGGCUGAGAAAAUAAUUUAUCCCAAAAUAUACACGAAAAACUGCCAUUUCUGGUUUACUGGGAGCAGGACUGGGGGAGGGAAGGGAGGGAAAGGAGUUUGAAACUUACUUUUCUCCCCCUUUUUUUCUAGAAAGCAAAUGUGACAUGGGGAGGAGGGAGAGAAUGUGAACAUGGCUCUUCCUAAACUCAUUGUAAACUCCUCCUCCGAGGCUGGGGAAAAGGGCAAGUGAAAGAUCUGAUCCUUAAAAGGACAUCACUGGGUGUCUGAGACCCCAAAAGCAGCUGGCAAUUUUUAAGGACUCAAAUUGCUUUUGGUUUAUCCCAAGAAAAAUUGACUUGGGAGUGUUGAAGUCUCCUUUUUCCCCACAAGUAUUUGCCACCCAAACACUGCACAUUUUGUUAAUACCCCAGAAAACAAAGAACCUGAUGAGGGAUAGAAAAUCAGUUGACUGCAUGGUCCCAUCCAAUUUUUUUCUCCCAAGCGAACAAAAUGCAAAAAAAAAAAAAACAAACCCAAACCAAAGCCCAUCCCUGACCCUCCCUCCCAAAAAAAACCCUAAAAAAGCAAGUCAAAGAGCAUCUGAAAUGCCCAUUCUGGUUUUGUCAUACUUGGUUGACGAGGGUGUUUUUGGCAUAGCUGCAGCCCAACUAUGUCCCUUUAAGGAGCACCGUGGCUCGUUUCCUCCUCACGAACCCCGAGCUGAGGGUUUUGCUGUUCCUGAGAGCAGAUCGAAGCUCCUGCAGCCUUAGUUGGAGUCCAGAAUGAGGGGAGCCCUUCCAGCUGUGCACUUUGAGCUGAAAACUACCUUUCCUCCCCUUUUGCAGCCUGGGUGGUUCUGAUUGCUGGCAGUUCUGUAAUACAACCUUAAUCUGAGCAGUUGAGGCUGGUCCUACCUUAUCUUCAGACGUCUUGCGGAGGACUCCUGUUACCAGUUUGGUACUCAAAAGCUACACCCCACCAUCAGAAGUCACUUUUUGUUUUUUCCAAAGGCAGUGAUAGCUCACCCUCUCUAGCUCUAAUGGAAAACCUGAUAAUUGCAAUGCAACUUUCUAAUAAAUUGUUCAUAUAUUCAUAAUUCCGUUGCAAUCCCAAAUUGGAGAAGAGAUCUGUUAUAAGGUAUAUAUUAGUCUAGAUUUUUCUUAUUGUAAAUACUGUAAUUUUAUAAUACUGUCAAUAUUUUAUUAACUUAGAAAUAUUUAACAGAGUUUAAUCUAUGGUAGUUGAUUUAUUUAUAGGUUUAUGUUGCAGCCAAUUACAUUCUAAUGUAAGAUUAACUUUCAGCAUGUAAACUUUGAGUGAAUAUAUCUUUGGAAAGAUUAAGAGAGAAAAAUCUCGCUCUUAAUCUGUAGUAUUUAUCCCCAAUUCCCAGUUGGGAAUUAUUUAACGAAAUAUUAGGAGGUUUUGAGAGCUCAUGAAUCUAAUAACUGCAGUUGGAUUUGAAAACUUGAAUUUUGAGAUGUACUUGGCUCUUUGACCCUGUGAAAAAGUUUGUUUCAGUACCUGACCUCUCUAGCACAGAAGUCUUUAUUUUGAGCAAAGGGACACUGUCAGAUCAAUUUCAGUUUCUUGCUUUUUUUGGGGGGAAAAAGAAAGCGCAGAGUGCGGCCCUGCGGCACGCGUGUUAAUUCCUUUUGGAUCGCAAGGGGAACAGCUCCUCUCCCGAGCCUUUGGGUCCCUGGCCAGAGCAGCUUCACCCGGGCAGGGGCGGAACUCCGGCCGCUCCGAGGGCUCUCGGCGGUCCCGGUGCUCCCGCAGUCCCGCCGGCUGCAGCCGCAGCUCGGGGAGAUGGGCAAAAGUGCACAAAGUCUCCAACUUUUGACCCUUUCUGACCAAAGCGUUUGCUUUUUAAGAAUUGAAAUCUCUCUCUCUCUUUUCACCUGAUGGUGUCCCUUUAGCAUCAUAAAGAUGUUCAUGUUCUCUGAAAACCAUGAGAAGUGAUUUUCUUUUCAAGGCAGGGGAGAAUUGGUCUGUCAUGUGUUUGCAACGCAACUUGCAUAAAAAUACCAAAAAUAUCUUGAAGGUUUUCACAGGCGUUGGUAUUUUUUGAGUGUAAAAGUUAAUCUUGAUUAGAGAUGUGCCAAUCUUUACUGCUUUCCUGUAGUGUUGUUACACUUAGGCAUUUCAGUUCACUUACAAAUAUAUACUGUAACAGUAUACUUUGUACAGAUUUAUUUAAAAUUUAUUUGAAAACUGAAAUAAAGUAGGCAGAAAAUAAAGAUAUUUAUUUUUCAUUUGACUAUGUAAGAAGGUAUCAUUCUUUUGGUUUUAGUGCACUGGUGUACCAAGCCUCAGAACCACUGCUUUCUCCAGCUCAUAGGAUGCUUUUCCAGACUGUGGAUACGUGUAUGUGUACUGCUGUGUUGAUAAGUAAAUGCCAACGAUGGAGUUCGUUGCUUUUAUACAUCCCAAAGAGAAGUUCUCCACCGUUCACUGUCUGUUUUCUGACCGAAAAGGCGUGUGUUUGUGAACAGUGUUCACGCCAGCUCUGCCAUCCCACCCUCACAUCAGCUCACACCAAUGCCAGGAUGGGAGGAGUUGCCUGCGUACCUUCCCCAAAACACCCUGGGCCACAGUGGCAUCGUCAGGGAGCAGUUCAAACCUGUGUCCUUUGGGCUUUGUGUAAAGCAAAUGCAGAACAAGAAAAAUCGAGAUGUUAAAUCCAUUAGAAAACCAAUUCCUUAUUGUACAGUAGUAUGGAGAUCUCUAGUCAACCUGCCAUUAAUAAUAGAUUCUUAUUUUUUGAAUGAUCUAUUUAAAAGAACAGCAAGCAUUGUAUUUGCUAGUAAAUCUGAAGUGUUUACAUGGAAUUACUAAAUAAAUUAUUUGAUCUAA